GACGGACGCUGGCGGCGUGCCUAAUACAUGCAAGUAGAACGCACAGUUUAUACCGUAGCUUGCUACACCAUAGACUGUGAGUUGCGAAUGGGUGAGUAACGCGUAGGUAACCUGCCUGGUAGCGGGGGAUAACUAUUGGAAACGAUAGCUAAUACCGCAUAAUAUUGAUUAUUGCAUGAUAAUUGAUUGAAAGAUGCUAUUGCAUCACUACCAGAUGGGCCUGCGUUGUAUUAGCUAGUAGGUGAGGUAACGGCUCACCUAGGCGACGAUACAUAGCCGACCUGGGAGGGUGAUCGGCCACACUGGGACUGAGACACGGCCCAGACUCCUACGGGAGGCAGCAGUAGGGAAUCUUCGGCAAUGGACGAAAGUCUGACCGAGCAACGCCGCGUGAGUGAAGAAGGUUUUCGGAUCGUAAAGCUCUGUUGUAAGAGAAGAACGGGUGUGAGAGUGGAAAGUUCACACUGUGACGGUAUCUUACCAGAAAGGGACGGCUAACUACGUG
rnacentral:rRNA from 1 species